UUAAGUUAAUAAGGGCGCACGGUGGAUGCCUUGGCACUAGAAGCCGAUGAAGGACGUGACUAACGACGAAAUGCUUUGGGGAGUUGUAAGUAAACAUUGAUCCAGAGAUGUCCGAAUGGGGGAACCCGGCAUGUAAUGCAUGUCACUCAUUACUGUUAAGGUAAUGAAGAGGAAGACGCAGUGAACUGAAACAUCUAAGUAGCUGCAGGAAGAGAAAGCAAAUGCGAUUGCCUUAGUAGCGGCGAGCGAAAUGGCAAGAGGGCAAACCGAUGUGUUUACACAUCGGGGUUGUAGGACUGCGACGUGGGACGACAAGAUUAUAGAAGAAUUACCUGGGAAGGUAAGCCAAAGAGAGUAACAGCCUCGUAUUCGAAAUAGUCUUUAACCCUAGCAGUAUCCUGAGUACGGCGAGACACGAGAAAUCUCGUCGGAAUCUGGGAGGACCAUCUCCUAACCCUAAAUACUCUCUAGUGACCGAUAGUGAACCAGUACCGUGAGGGAAAGGUGAAAAGCACCCCGGGAGGGGAGUGAAAUAGAACCUGAAACCGUGUGCCUACAACAAGUUCGAGCCCGUUAAUGGGUGAGAGCGUGCCUUUUGUAGAAUGAACCGGCGAGUUACGAUAUGAUGCGAGGUUAAGUUGAAGAGACGGAGCCGUAGGGAAACCGAGUCUUAAUAGGGCGCAUUAGUAUCAUGUCGUAGACCCGAAACCAUGUGACCUACCCAUGAGCAGGGUGAAGGUGAGGUAAAACUCACUGGAGGCCCGAACCAGGGCACGUUGAAAAGUGCUUGGAUGACUUGUGGGUAGCGGAGAAAUUCCAAACGAACUUGGAGAUAGCUGGUUCUCUCCGAAAUAGCUUUAGGGCUAGCGUCGAUGUUAAGUCUCUUGGAGGUAGAGCACUGUUUGAUUGAGGGGUCCAUCCCGGAUUACCAAUAUCAGAUAAACUCCGAAUGCCAAUGAGAUAUAAUCGGCAGUCAGACUGCGAGUGCUAAGAUCCGUAGUCGAAAGGGAAACAGCCCAGACCACCAGCUAAGGUCCCAAAAUAUAUGUUAAGUGGAAAAGGAUGUGGGGUUGCACAGACAACUAGGAUGUUAGCUUAGAAGCAGCUAUUCAUUCAAAGAGUGCGUAAUAGCUCACUAGUCGAGUGACCCUGCGCCGAAAAUGUACCGGGGCUAAAACAUAUUACCGAAGCUGUGGAUACCUUUUAGGUAUGGUAGGAGAGCGUUCUAUGUGUGAAGAAGGUGUACCGUGAGGAGCGCUGGAACGCAUAGAAGUGAGAAUGCCGGUAUGAGUAGCGAAAGACAGGUGAGAAUCCUGUCCACCGUAUGACUAAGGUUUCCAGGGGAAGGCUCGUCCUCCCUGGGUUAGUCGGGACCUAAGGAGAGACCGAAAGGUGUAUCCGAUGGACAACAGGUUGAUAUUCCUGUACUAGAGUAUAUAGUGAUGGAGGGACGCAGUAGGCUAACUAAAGCGUGCGAUUGGAAGUGCACGUCUAAGCAGUGAGGUGUGAUAUGAGUCAAAUGCUUAUAUCUCUAACAUUGAGCUGUGAUGGGGAGCGAAGUUAAGUAGCGAAGUUAGUGAUGUCACACUGCCAAGAAAAGCUUCUAGCGUUAAUUAUACUCUACCCGUACCGCAAACCGACACAGGUAGUCGAGGCGAGUAGCCUCAGGUGAGCGAGAGAACUCUCGUUAAGGAACUCGGCAAAAUGGCCCCGUAACUUCGGGAGAAGGGGCGCUGGCUUUAAGUCAGCCGCAGUGAAUAGGCCCAAGCAACUGUUUAUCAAAAACACAGCUCUCUGCUAAAUCGUAAGAUGAUGUAUAGGGGGUGACGCCUGCCCGGUGCUGGAAGGUUAAGAGGAGCGCUUAGCAUUAGCGAAGGUGUGAAUUGAAGCCCCAGUAAACGGCGGCCGUAACUAUAACGGUCCUAAGGUAGCGAAAUUCCUUGUCGGGU
rnacentral:rRNA from 1 species